rnacentral:rRNA from 1 species
UACGAAGGGAGCUAGCGUUGUUCGGAAUCACUGGGCGUAAAGCGCACGUAGGCGGAUGUGUCAGUCAGGGGUGAAAUCCCGGAGCUCAACUUCGGAACUGCCUUUGAUACAGCACGUCUUGAGUCCGGAAGAGGUGGGUGGAAUUCCUAGCGUAGAGGUGAAAUUCGUAGAUAUUAGGAAGAACACCGGUGGCGAAGGCGGCCCACUGGUCCGGUACUGACGCUGAGGUGCGAAAGCGUGGGGAGCAAACAGG